rnacentral:rRNA from 1 species
CCUGCUUAACACAUGCAAGUCGAACGGAAAGGCCCUUUUUUUGUGGGGUGCUCGAGUGGCGAACGGGUGAGUAACACGUGAGUAACCUGCCCUUGACUUUGGGAUAACUUCAGGAAACUGGGGCUAAUACCGGAUAGGAGCUCCUGCUGCAUGGUGGGGGUUGGAAAGUUUCGGCGGUUGGGGAUGGACUCGCGGCUUAUCAGCUUGUUGGUGGGGUAGUGGCUUACCAAGGCUUUGACGGGUAGCCGGCCUGAGAGGGUGACCGGCCACAUUGGGACUGAGAUACGGCCCAGACUCCUACGGGAGGCAGCAGUGGGGAAUAUUGCACAAUGGGCGGAAGCCUGAUGCAGCAACGCCGCGUGCGGGAUGACGGCCUUCGGGUUGUAAACCGCUUUCGCCUGUGACGAAGCGUGAGUGACGGUAAUGGGUAAAGAAGCACCGGCUAACUACGUGCCAGCAGCCGCGGUGAUACGUAGGGUGCGAGCGUUGUCCGGAUUUAUUGGGCGUAAAGGGCUCGUAGGUGGUUGAUCGCGUCGGAAGUGUAAUCUUGGGGCUUAACCCUGAGCGUGCUUUCGAUACGGGUUGACUUGAGGAAGGUAGGGGAGAAUGGAAUUCCUGGUGGAGCGGUGGAAUGCGCAGAUAUCAGGAGGAACACCAGUGGCGAAGGCGGUUCUCUGGGCCUUUCCUGACGCUGAGGAGCGAAAGCGUGGGGAGCGAACAGGCUUAGAUACCCUGGUAGUCCACGCUGUAAACGGUGGGUACUAGGUGUGGGGUCCAUUCCACGGGUUCCGUGCCGUAGCUAACGCUUUAAGUACCCCGCCUGGGGAGUACGGCCGCAAGGCUAAAACUCAAAGGAAUUGACGGGGCCCCGCACAAGCGGCGGAGCAUGCGGAUUAAUUCGAUGCAACGCGUAGAACCUUACCUGGGUUUGACAUGGAUCGGGAGUGCUCAGAGAUGGGUGUGCCUCUUUUGGGGUCGGUUCACAGGUGGUGCAUGGCUGUCGUCAGCUCGUGUCGUGAGAUGUUGGGUUAAGUCCCGCAACGAGCGCAACCCUUGUUCACUGUUGCCAGCACGUUAUGGUGGGGACUCAGUGGAGACCGCCGGGGUCAACUCGGAGGAAGGUGGGGAUGACGUCAAGUCAUCAUGCCCCUUAUGUCCAGGGCUUCACGCAUGCUACAAUGGCUGGUACAGAGAGUGGCGAGCCUGUGAGGGUGAGCGAAUCUCGGAAAGCCGGUCUCAGUUCGGAUUGGGGUCUGCAACUCGACCUCAUGAAGUCGGAGUCGCUAGUAAUCGCAGAUCAGCAACGCUGCGGUGAAUACGUUCCCGGGGCUUGUACACACCGCCCGUCAAGUCAUGAAAGUUGGUAACACCCGAAGCCGGUGGCCUAACCGUUGUGGGGGAGCCGUCGAAGGUGGGACUGGUGAUUAGGACUAA